AAUUAAAGAAAAAUAUAAGGUCUAGGCGAGAUUAGCCAGUUAUAAUAUUAUAAUAAUAGGUGUUAGGUGGAAGUGCAAUUAUGCAUGUAGCUGAAGCAUACUAAUAAGAUAAAGUAAAAAAAAAAGACCAAUAGAAUUAAAC
rnacentral:rRNA from 1 species